rnacentral:rRNA from 1 species
UGGGGAAUUUUGGACAAUGGGCGAAAGCCUGAUCCAGCAAUGCCGCGUGUGUGAAGAAGGCCUUCGGGUUGUAAAGCACUUUUGUCCGGAAAGAAAUCCUUGGCUCUAAUACAGUCGGGGGAUGACGGUACCGGAAGAAUAAGCACCGGCUAACUACGUGCCAGCAGCCGCGGUAAUACGUAGGGUGCAAGCGUUAAUCGGAAUUACUGGGCGUAAAGCGUGCGCAGGCGGUUUGCUAAGACCGAUGUGAAAUCCCCGGGCUCAACCUGGGAACUGCAUUGGGUGACUGGCAGGCUAGAGUAUGGCAGAGGGGGGUAGAAUUCCACGUGUAGCAGUGAAAUGCGUAGAGAUGUGGAGGAAUACCGAUGGCGAAGGCAGCCCCCUGGGCCAAUACUGACGCUCAUGCACGAAAGCGUGGGGAGCAAACAGGAUUAGAUACCCUGGUAGUCCACGCCCUAAACGAUGUCAACUAGUUGUUGGGGAUUCAUUUCCUUAGUAACGUAGCUAACGCGUGAAGUUGACCGCCUGGGGAGUACGGUCGCAAGAUUAAAACUCAAAUGAAUUGACGGGGUCAUAGCUG